AUUCCAGCUCCAAUAGCGUAUAUUAAAGUUGUUGUGGUUAAAAAGCUCGUAGUUGGAUUCCGUCGGGUAUAGGUUGGUUUGAAUUGCUUCAAUACUGACUUUUUUACCCGUGUGUUUUGCCAGAAUUUAACGGGUGAUCUUCGCCGAUUGUCUGUUAGAACUGACAGGUUUACUUUGAAAAAAUUAGAGUGCUCAAAGCAAGCUUGAUUGCUUGAAUAUUCGUGCAUGGAAUAAUAGAAUAGGAAGUCGUUUCUAUUUUGUUGGUUUUCGGAAAUCGACUUAAUGAUUAAUAGGGACAGUCGGGGGCAUUUGUAUUCAAACGACAGAGGUGAAAUUCUUGGACCGUUUGAAGACAAACUACUGCGAAAGCAUUUGCCAAGAAUGUUUUCAUCA
rnacentral:rRNA from 1 species